CAGCAGCCGCGGUAAAACGUAGGGUGCAAGCGUUAUCCGGAAUUAUUGGGCGUAAAGAGCUCGUAGGCGGUCUGUCGCGUCUGCUGUGAAAACUGGGGGCUCAACCCCCAGCCUGCAGUGGGUACGGGCAGACUAGAGUGCGGUAGGGGAGAUUGGAAUUCCUGGUGUAGCGGUGGAAUGCGCAGAUAUCAGGAGGAACACCGAUGGCGAAGGCAGAUCUCUGGGCCGUAACUGACGCUGAGGAGCGAAAGCAUGGGGAGCGAACAGGAUUAGAUACCCCAGUAGUCCCUGUCUCUUAUAC
rnacentral:rRNA from 1 species